rnacentral:rRNA from 1 species
CUUUCCCUCUUUCUUCCUGCUUUACACAUGCAAGUCGAACGGCAGCGCGGGCUUCGGCCUGGCGGCGAGUGGCGAACGGGUGAGUAAUGCAUCUGAACGUGCCCAGUAGUGGGGGAUAGCCCGGCGAAAGCCGGAUUAAUACCGCAUACGACCUGAGGGUGAAAGCGGGGGACCGAAAGGCCUCGCGCUAUUGGAGCGGCCGAUGUCGGAUUAGCUAGUUGGUGGGGUAAAGGCUUACCAAGGCGACGAUCCGUAGCUGGUCUGAGAGGACGACCAGCCACACUGGGACUGAGACACGGCCCAGACUCCUACGGGAGGCAGCAGUGGGGAAUUUUGGACAAUGGGGGCAACCCUGAUCCAGCCCUGCCGCGUGCGGGAAGAAGGCCUUCGGGUUGUAAACCGCUUUUGUUCGGGAAGAAAUCCUCUGGGCUAAUACCCCGGGGGGAUGACGGUACCGGAAGAAUAAGCACCGGCUAACUACGUG